CCUACGGGAGGCAGCAGUGAGGAAUCUUUGUCAAUGGACGAGAGUCUGAACCAGCCAAGCCGCGUGAGGGAUUACUGCCCUUUGGAUUGUAAACUUCUGUUAUGAAGGAAUAAAUCGAGGCACUUGUACCUUUUUGCAUGUACUUUAUUAAUAAUGAUCGGCUAACUCCGUUCCAGCAGCCGCGGUAAUACUGAGUAUCCGAGCGUUGGCCGGAUUUAUUGGGUUUAAAUGUAGCGUAGAUGGGUUCUUAAGUCAGGUGUGAAAGGUUGGGGCUCAACCGUCAGAUUGCAAUUGAUACUGGCAGACUAGAGUAAAGUUGAGGUAGGCGGAAUUCGUGGUGUAGCAGUGAAAUGCUUAGAUAUCGAGAAGAACACGCAUUGCGAAGGCAGCUUCCUAAACUGUGACUGACAUUGAUGCACGAAAGUGUGGGUAUCAAAAGGGAUUAGAUACCCUAGUAGUC
rnacentral:rRNA from 1 species